AAAUAGUUACAACUCCGAGUCUGUUCACCUACCGGCACAUCCCAAGGUGGCAGGCCUAUGGGUUCUUCGGGAAACUGGCGAGCCUCCCACUCUUGGAAAGGAGCUGACGGACAUUAAUC
rfam:Desulfuromonas acetoxidans DSM 684 ctg58, whole genome shotgun sequence.